ACCUUUUUAUACUAAAGCUUUAACUUCCCGAACUUCCUUUACAACAGAUUUAACAACUUUUAUUAACAGAAUGAUUAAUCUAGCCACACGUGUAGCUUCUUCAGUAGCUUGAUCAGCUUCUGUUCCUGGUUUUAAUCUGUUGUAUAACCAGUCCCUUCACAAGGAUUGCCAGCUCAGCUUGGAUUGAGGAUUGCCAGCUCAGUUUUCAGCUUACUCCGAGCUUGCUCUGCUUUUAUCAGCUCAGCUCCUCUGCUUCUAUCAGCUUCUCUGUUUUGGUUUUGUUUCUU
rnacentral:lncRNA from 1 species